UGAGCCAACAUGCUUGCGCAAGAGUUUUUGUUGUGUGAAGUCGGUUUGAGGUGACGAUGUAACAGGCUGCAGGGACAUGACUGUUGAGGAACCCAUCAAGGACCAGUAAUGUCACAAACAAACACAUUGCCUAAUCACACUGCUCAUUGAGCUUCGAAUCGAUGUACUAUGGCCCCAGAAGAGAUGAAAACACGGGCAUCAAUCUCAAUAACAUCAGAAGCAAUACUAACAGCAGAACAAUUGCCAGCAGCAAAAACAUCUCAUGGACUAGAAGAAGCAGCAUGUAAAAAGAUCAUAAAGAAAUCAACACUACCAAGAGCACCAAAAGCAGCACAGAAGAGAGGUGGAAGGAAUAAAAGAAAGCAGGGGCCUAUGUAUUUGAUGGGAGAGUAUUUUUACAUCCACAGAUAUCUGACCUCACUUAUGGAAGAACACUCAAUGGAAAAAAAUAUCCAAGUCAUCAUGGAGCAUUGCAAUUUGUCAUGAAAGCAAAGUAAAAUGGCAAAAUAAAUGUUAAGAAGGUACCAAAGCACGUAAUCGAGUGAGUGCAGCAAAAACAGAUUAACUUCCAAUGCUACAGCUGGGUGCAUGCAAGAAGGUGGCAGUGUGAUGUAUUCUGCACAGUGGGAGAAAGAGAAUAAUAUGUAAAUUGAAGGUGGAGAGGGAGAAAUAGUAGGAAAGGGAAGGCAUUACUUAUGUCAGCUGCAGCAUAACUUUAUACGGAAUCAGCGGUGAUGAGUGAAAAUGUAUUCUAGGCAAUUGCAUUAACCAUUGCACCAUCUGGACACAGUGUUUAUUGUGGACUAUCUUAGCACAUCUCCAGGCCAAACCACAUUUCACCUGUUGCAGUCCCGAUUGUGUCCUCCUUGAGACUCCUACAGGAGUUUGAACAAAAUUGUGCAUCCACACCGAAUGUGGUGGUUUUAUCGCCCAUUGAGGUGAAUCAGUUAUAUGAAUGUGUGUUGUCUGUUCUUUCAGGCAUGUCCAAAAGAACAGGCACCAUAUGGAAUCCACAGCUGUUAUACAUAUUAUGUAAACUGAAGGUGGAGGGAGAGAAAGGAAAUGAAAGGGAAGGAACUAUUGAUGUCAGCUGCAUUGGUACUUUAUACAAAAUCGUUGGUGAUGAGUGAAAAUGUGUGCUCUUCCAGGACUCAAACACAAGAUCUCCUGCUUACUAGGCAGUUGCAUUCACCACUAUGUCAUCCAGACAUAGUGUUAUCAAAAUUAUGUGGACUAUCUCAGGAUGCCUCCCAGGUGACCCACAUUCUCAAGUAGGCCACCUAUCUGCCAUCCCCAUCCAUGUCCUCCAUGCUCACUACUUUGAAAGUCCCACAGGAGGUCGAACACAAUUGUGCAUCCACACUAAAUGUGGAGGAUUCAUCAUAAAUCGAGGCAAAUCAGUUAUAUGAAUGCACGGUGUCUGUUCUUUCAGACACAUUUGAAAGAACAGACUCCACAGCUGUGCCAUAUAUUAUGUAAACUAAAGGUGGAGGGGGGAAGAAAGGACAGCAAAGCUACUAUUGACAUCAGCUGCAUUGGGACUACAUGUGGUGCCUGUACUUUUAUAUAUCUCCGAAAGAACAGACACCGCGAAUUCGUAUAUAGACUGUCCCACAAUUCUUACUACAGCCACCACCUACCCUAAUAGCUGGCAACACAGGGAUGAGCACUACACCUGGCGACUGUUUCUGCUUCUGACUUGGCAGUAUUUAUAUGCUCGGGAACUAUUACUGUUGCUUCUUAAUGUAAUACUUCCUGUGUUUGCAUUACUUCAUCCUUAAUUAGCACUAUCGUGGGAAAGUAACCACAAUAUAUAUAUAAACUAACAUGAAAAUAAACAAUUAAUGUUCUGAGCACACCCUGAUGUGUCUGCUAUAGAUGUAUGCAGCAAAAUGGUAUUGGCUCGAGCAUCACAUGGUACACUGCUGCUUGCCACUGAGCAUCGCCCACCAACCACCAUCUUACGUGCACACCGCUGUCAGCAGACGAUGACACCAGCAAAACUUUCUUCCUGACAAUUCCUAAUGGUGAUGUGAUAUGAAGGCCAGUGAUGGCUUGUGUGAAUGCCACUAUUUGAAAUGCAUUGUGGAAUUUUGAUGUCAAGUGAUGUGACAGCAUGUGUGUAUUGGCCUUAAUAGGAUAUCGUGAUUGACCCAAGCAAAUGACUUCAAUAAAUGGCAGAAGAUCCCA